UAUCAAAACAUCUAGGGUUUAAAGUUCUUUUGACGGAUGCAUUAUUCCUUUCAUUUUUUCCGAGUGAGAAUUGUUGUACAAUAACACAGAAUCAAGCAAAUUCCGGCUAAAUCGCGUCUUACUUAUCGGCGGCGCCGCUGCCGCCCUUUGCAAUUAUCAUCGGCGCCGAAGACAGAUUGUACUAAGUUCGGUUUAUCAGCUCUAAUUAAACUCUAAAAAAAAUGUCAGAACAACAACCAGAGAGGAAGAUUGAGACGCAAGAGGAGCUCGAGCGCAAGAAAAAGAAGGAAGAAAAGGCCAAGGAAAAGGAAGCUAAGAAGCUAAAGGCUGCUCAGAAAGCUGCUGAAGCCGCUAAAUUGAAGGAACAACAAUCUGGUGGUAAUGCUGCUACGAAGAAGAGUGGUCCUAAAAAGAAUGCAAGGCGAGAUGUUGGUGGAACUGAAGAAAAUCCAGAGGAUCCUCAUACUCCUUUUGGUGAGAGGAAAAAACUCUCUGCUCAAAUGGCUAAACAAUACUCUCCAUCUGCUGUCGAGAAAUCAUGGUAUGCUUGGUGGGAAAAAUCUGGUUAUUUUACAGCCCAUGCAAAAAGCUCUAAACCACCAUUUACCAUUGUUUUUCCACCUCCAAAUGUGACUGGGGCCCUACAUAUAGGCCAUGCCCUUACAGCUGCUGUAGAGGAUACAAUUAUUCGAUGGCGGAGAAUGUCUGGAUAUAAUACCUUGUGGGUACCUGGUGUGGACCACGCAGGGAUAGCAACACAGGUGGUUGUAGAAAAGAAGCUGAUGCGUGAACGCCACUUAACCAGACAUGACAUUGGUCGUGAGCAAUUUGUUUCUGAAGUUUGGAAGUGGAAGGAGGAAUAUGGGGGUACCAUACUUGGACAGUUGCGAAGAUUAGGUGCCUCUCUUGAUUGGUCUCGUGAGUGUUUUACAAUGGAUGAGAAAAGAUCAAAGGCUGUGAUAGAGGAAUUUGUCCGGUUAUACAAGGAAGGUCUCAUCUAUAGGGAUCUCCGACUGGUGAAUUGGGAUUGCACAUUACGAACUGCUAUUUCUGAUAUCGAGGUAGAUUAUACUGACAUCAAAGAGAAGACACUGUUGAAGGUUCCUGGGUAUGAUAAGCCUGUGGAAUUUGGUCUAUUAACCUCAUUUGCUUACCCUCUGGAGGGAGAUUUGGGUGAAAUUGUUGUUGCCACUACCAGAAUCGAAACAAUGCUUGGUGAUACUGCUAUUGCUAUACAUCCUGAUGACCAGAGGUACAGUCACCUGCAUGGAAAAUUUGCAAUUCACCCUUUUAAUGGAAGAAGACUUCCAAUAAUAUGUGAUUCUGUUCUUGUUGAUCCCAAUUUUGGGACUGGUGCCGUCAAGAUUACUCCAGCACAUGACCCAAAUGAUUUUGAGGUUGGGAAACGUCACAAUCUUGAAUUUAUCAAUAUUUUUACCGAUGAUGGUAAGAUUAAUAGCAAUGGCGGCUCUGAGUUUACUGGGAUACCGCGUUUCAGGGCCCGUGAGGCAGUGACAGAAGCACUACAGGAAAAGGGAUUGUAUAGAGGUGCCAAAAACAAUGAGAUGCGACUUGGCUGUUGUUCAAGAAGCAAUGAGGUUGUGGAGCCAAUGAUAAAGCCCCAAUGGUUUGUUAACUGCAGUACUAUGGCGAAACAGGCUCUUGAUGCAGCUUUUGAUGGUGAAAAUCCAAAGCUUGAAUUUUUCCCGAAACAAUAUUUGGCUGAUUGGAAAAGGUGGCUUGAGAAUAUACGUGAUUGGUGCAUAUCAAGGCAGCUUUGGUGGGGUCACCGUAUUCCUGCGUGGUAUAUUACACUAGAAGAUGAUGAAUUGAAGGAAUUUGGUGUCUACAAUGACCAUUGGGUAGUUGGUAGAGAUGAGAAAGAGGCUUUAGAGGAGGCUAGUCUAAAAUUUGCUGGAAAGAAAUUUGAGAUGAGUCAAGAUCCUGAUGUUCUUGACACCUGGUUUUCUUCUGGUUUGUUUCCAUUGUCUGUGUUGGGUUGGCCAGAUGAUACUGAUGAUUUGAAAACAUUUUACCCAACUUCAGUGCUUGAAACUGGGCAUGACAUUCUAUUUUUCUGGGUUGCUCGGAUGGUGAUGUUGGGAAUUACACUGAGAGGUGAUGUGCCAUUUAGGAAGGUUUAUCUGCAUCCAAUGAUUCGUGAUGCACAUGGCCGCAAGAUGUCCAAGUCUUUGGGAAAUGUUAUUGACCCUCUUGAAGUAAUAAAUGGGAUAAACCUUGAAGGCCUUCACAAGAGACUGGAGGAAGGAAACUUGGAUCCAAAUGAGCUGGUGACUGCGAAAGACGGGCAGAAGAAAGACUUUCCUAAUGGUAUAGCUGAAUGUGGUGCAGAUGCUCUCCGAUUUGCUCUUGUUUCUUAUACAGCUCAGUCUGAUAAAAUAAAUUUAGACAUUCAAAGAGUUGUUGGAUAUCGUCAGUGGUGUAACAAAUUGUGGAAUGCUGUUCGAUUUGCUAUGAGCAAACUUGAUGCUGACUAUUCUCCUCCACUGACCUUACAUACUGAAGCUUUGCCUUUUAGCUGCAAGUGGAUACUCUCAGCACUUAACAAAGCCAUAGCCAGAACUGUUUCGGCAAUGAACUCAUAUGAAUUUUCAGAUGCUGCCAGCACAGUGUAUUCAUGGUGGCAAUAUCAAUUCUGUGAUGUUUUCAUUGAAGCAAUCAAGCCUUAUUUCGUUGGUGAUAAUCCAGAAUAUGCCUCUGCGAAGAAUGCUGCUCAAGGCACUCUUUGGGUGUGUUUGGACAAUGGCCUGCGGUUGCUUCAUCCAUUUAUGCCCUUUGUUACUGAGGAAUUGUGGCAACGUCUUCCUUCAGCUAGGGACCAUACAAGAAAAGACUCAAUUAUGAUAUCUGAAUAUCCAUCAGCUGUAGAAGCCUGGACAAAUGAACAGGUCGAAUAUGAAAUGGACCUUGUUGAGUCUACUGUGAAGUGUGUAAGAUCUCUAAGGGGUGAGGUGCUUGGUAAGCAGAAGAAUGAAAGACUACCGGCUUUUGCAUUUUGCCAAAGUGACGAAGUAGCCCGAAUUAUUAGCAGCCAUGAAUUGGAAAUUUUAACUCUUGCAACUUUAUCUUCUUUAGAGGUAUUAUUGAGUAGGAAAGAUGCUCCUCCAGCUGGAUGUGCAUUUGAGAAUGUCAACGAGAAUCUAAAAGUCUAUCUCAAGGCUCAAGGAAAAGUUGAUAGAGAAGGAGAGCUUGAGAAGGUCAGAAAUCAAAUGGAUGAUAAGCAAAAGCAAUAUGACAAAUUGGAUAAGAAGGUUAAUGCAUCCGGCUACAAAGAGAAAGUACCUGCUCAUAUUCAGGAGCAGGAAAUUGCUAAGCUGACUAAACUUCUUCAGGAAAUCGAAUUCUUUGAAAAAGAAAGCUCCCGGCUUGAAGCUGAGAUUGAGAAAGAGGGCAAGUAAUUUAAAGCUUCAAUAAAACCUAAAGAUGGGCUCUUUAUCCUCACAGAUCAAUGAAGAGAGAGGUGAAGCAAGACAGGAAGGGUUGCUAGGGGGGGCCUCCAUGCGCAUGAGAGAAACCUGAAGACAGCCAAAAAAAGGGGGGCCUACAUGCACCAUCUCUCAUAGUAGGGAUAGCUGUAAGAGUUUUUUUCUUGUAGUUGCUGAUCAGCAGACCUAUUACAUGAUCUAGGAGAAAAAGAAACAGCAUUAGCCCAACGUACGAGCUAUUCUAAACUUCUUGUGAGGUAUUUGAAAUUUGCCCCGUUAAAAGUUUGUUUGCCUUUAUUUAAUAAAGGCUUAAUUUCCUAUUUAGUCCCUAAAUUUUCAAUUUUUUUUUUCAAUUUUAUUCAAAUCUUUAGAAUUUGUCAAAAGUACAUCUGGACAAUGAAUUUUGCCUAAAAACACUAUCUGACCGAGUUUUUCCGGUUAGUGCAGAAUAUGUGGCAGGUUGGGAGACUCUCUCUUCUUGCAUCGACACUGAUGUACUGUCAUUGCUAAAAUCAAGCAAAAGGAAAAAGAAAAAUAGAAAGGAGUAAUAAUGAAAGACUAGAGUGGGAUCCAUUAGUAGACAACCACCUCAAGGGAUUGGGUUAAGGUUAAUUUUGAUGCUCCUAUUAGAAAUCACAUCAAUAGAGGAAGUGUUGGCACUAUAGCCCAGAAUAGGAAUAAUCAAAUAAUACAGUCACUUUCCAAGUUAUACAAGUCUUUUUUGUUAUGGAAAAUUUGGCUCUUUGACACACUAUGAAAUGGACAGAUGAGUAUAAUUAGCCAAAAGUAAUGUUUGAAGAUGAUGCUUUGCAAGUCAUUCAGAUAGUUGUGGGAACAAUGACGAUUCAUUCUUCUGUAUGCACUAUAUUUGCCGAUGAA